rnacentral:rRNA from 1 species
GACGAACGCUGGCGGCGUGCUUAACACAUGCAAGUCGAACGGAAAGGCCCUGCUUUUGUGGGGUGCUCGAGUGGCGAACGGGUGAGUAACACGUGAGUAACCUGCCCUUGACUUUGGGAUAACUUCAGGAAACUGGGGCUAAUACCGGAUAGGAGCUCCUGCUGCAUGGUGGGGGUUGGAAAGUUUCGGCGGUUGGGGAUGGACUCGCGGCUUAUCAGCUUGUUGGUGGGGUAGUGGCUUACCAAGGCUUUGACGGGUAGCCGGCCUGAGAGGGUGACCGGCCACAGUGGGACUGAGAUACGGCCCAGACUCCUACGGGAGGCAGCAGUGGGGAAUAUUGCACAAUGGGCGGAAGCCUGAUGCAGCAACGCCGCGUACGGGAUGACGGCCUUCGGGUUGUAAACCGCUUUCGCCUGUGACGAAGCGUGAGUGACGGUAAUGGGUAAAGAAGCACCGGCUAACUACGUG